UCACGCAUCGGUUUGAUUCUCGCCGCGCGCUUGAAAUACGAGCGCGUCCGGUAGGUUAUCAGCGGAUCGAAGAGAUUGUAAACGGCCGUUCGUCGUUUGUCUUCGGCGAAAACGACUUUGUUUAACGCGUAACCCACUUGUCCUUAUCGUGCACAGCAUGAGUGAACAAGAAGCAGAACCACAAAACCCACAGAACACCAAUAUGAGUGCACAUGAUAUGGAGAAGAUGGAAGAGGAGAAGUUGAAGGCCAAGUAUCCGGCGGGUGCAAUGGCUGCAGGCAGGUCAAUCAGUGGCCACACUGCUUUCUUACAAAACGACUUGCUAAAGGACAAAAAUUCUUUGAUUCUGGUGAUUAUCAGAUGGCAAAGCAGAAGAUUGGCAUCAAUAAACAGCCACCGAAAGUCGCCGGCCCUGCGAAUCCGUUCGGAUCAACUGGCGAUGCCAUUCCCACACCGGAGACCGUCCCGGCACG